AAAGUAUUGUUCAUUCCGCUGACCGGCGCCGUUCGCCGGGUGAACAUCGUCGGCGUUCGAAGCUUUGAUUGCAACAACCACUCAAAAAGAGCGUUUUCACUGUUCCGCAAUUGUUUGAUCGUUCAUUUAGGAACUCUUUAGUUGUUGUUUGUUUGUCAUGGAGGAACUUAGUGAAUAGAGUAAAACUUCUAUACGAGGAAGAAUGUAUGUAGGGUUUUGUUUAUUUUGAUGUGCUAUUGUAGAUAUUUUUACUUUGAUGGACUUGUCUGAAUGUAUUAACACUGAUAUCUCCUGUUUUUCACUUAUGGGUCUUUCAGUGCUGAAUAAAGGAUUUUAUGGAAAAAAUAUUUUCUUGGUAUGAACAAGCUUUUUGCAUAGGUUUUGUUCUUUCAAUUUACUGGGUUGCUGAUCAUCUUCUUCCAGUCUCUUCUAGGAAGUUAGUUUCAUUAUUAUCCAAUUGAUCAAUAUAACUUAUAAGUAUGGCUAUAAAAGUGUUUGACUAUGUUUAUUUAGUUUUUUCUGCGCUCGUUCUCUGGUUUUAUAUCUUUCUCUAGAAAUUCAAAUGUUAAAUUUUUUAUAUUGAUUAAAUAUUACUCAGCAUAGCUUAUGUUUCCAUCUUCAUGUUAAUGUAUAUUAUUUCAUGGACAGGAUUCACACGAUCCUACUGAACUUGUUCCCAAGAAUGCAUUUAAAUGGAUUUUAAUGUUAAGAAGAGAAAGUACAAGGUGCUGCCCCAUUUGUAGAUAUAAGUGAUAUAGCUGCUCUUAUAAUGAGACUUGGUACUUAAUAUCUGUUUAUUCCCUUCUCUUAUAUUUGUCUCCCAUCACUUUAUUAUUAACUUGGAGAGUUUGAAACAGCAAUGCCACCUUAGUGACUGAGUUUUUCUUCAUUGAUGCAAUUUUCCAGCAAACACCAUGUGCUUUUGAUUGGAACUCCUCUCUAGGUAUAUUUAAAUUCAUGCCAUUGUGCCUACGAUGAUUUACUUAUGAUGUCUUGAACUGUUUUAACAACAUGGGUUCAUUUGAAAUUGUCUGGUUUGUUUUUCGUCUUCUUACUGGGGUUUUGUUUAAUGUCUAGAAAGCAUGUGAGUCUUGUGAUUAGAGUGAAGAAUUUUAUUUUCUUAAAGUCAUUCAUGUCUUAGUGGAUGGAAUACACACAUAAUUAUUAUAAAGAUAUUAAAAUAUUUUUGUUUCUAAUAAUGUUUUAUUUACAACUUUAAAUUAUUAACCAGUUUCAUUGAUGUGAUUUUUUAGCCUUUGGGUAUAAGGAAGAUAAGGUGCAUCAUGUUAACUUUUAAAGAAGACUUCUUAGGUAUAGAAAAAUGACUUACGAAGACUCAGUUAUAACACUAUACAUUUUCCUCCCCCUCCCUUCUUUAAAAUAGUAAGCAAAUGUGUAUAAAAUGUAAUGUAGAGUGUCUUAUAACCUCACAUCUCUUAAAGACUAUUGCACCAUAUGCACAAAAAUCAAAAUUUGUACUAGUUUUUUAAGACACCGUAGGAUGUUAUGAAUAAUGUAUGCAUUGGUCUGAUCAAUAUUUGUAUGUGCAGGAUUAUGACACAAUAGUAGGGGAAGGAAAGAUUGAAUUAUCUGAAGGGCAGAAACAAUGGGUGACAAUUGCACGAGAAUAGUCAAGAAUACCAAAAAUAUUACUAUUAGAUGAGGCCACUAGUGCAUUUGAUGCAUAUGAAAAAGUGGUUCAAGAUGCACUAGAGCGUGUUAUGGUGAAUUGAACCAUAAUAGUAGUGGCUCACAGGCUAACCACUACAAAGGAUGUUGGUUUAAUUGUGUAGUAAAAAGUUGUGUGAUAGCAUAGAAGGGAACACAUGAAGCAUUAGUGAGAAAGGAAGGUAAUUAUGCUUCCUUAGUAGCAUUGCACAUAAGUGCUUCUACAUUCUAGUUUACUUUCACCUCCUUUUGAUUUUAUCCAAGAAAUACCGCUCUAAAAUAUUUCCAUAUCAAUAAUUU